UGUCCUGAUGAUACUUGUAAUAGGAAGUGCCGUCAGAAGCGAUAACUGACGAAGACUACUCCUGUCUGAUU